UGCAGAGCGCAGCAUGAUAGCCUGACUCCCUCGAAGCAGCUCUGACUCCAUGUCUAAGGCAGAUGGAACAGCCGGUGAGGAAGAGUCAGAAGGCUCUCUGACUAUCCCAGGGUGAUAAGGAAGGCUGCUGCCACCAAGAUUAGCAACCCACGUUGGGCAUGCAGAACCCUGAAUCCUACCCAUGAUCCUCAAGUGGAAGCUGAAAAAGCUGGCCAGCUGCCCCAGGCCUAUACCCUAGACAGAAGGAAUCUGUGUGUUGUGCUCCUGUAGGACAGUACUGCAUACUUCUGUGGCUUGACAUCCAAGGGGCAAACACCUCCAUUCUUCAGCUGCAACAUCACCUCCUCCUCCUGCCUACCCUGGCCACUUCUCUCCUAGGAAUGAAGGUCUGUCCAUAUUCUUUCUGAAGAUGAGGUAGCCCUCACCAUCCUGGACACAGUGCAGCGGCGUCAGCCCUGGGCUGUCAUGCCCAUGGAGAUCCAUGUGGAGCUACACAUGGAGUCUCAGGCUGAUGGACACUCAGGACAGGGUGACAGAAAAAUGACUCAGCCCCGGGCCUGGUCUGGUGCCAGCAAACAGAGAAGGCUCAGUCCACAGCACAGGGGCAGGCAUUUAUGUGCUUGUUAGGAUUUGCCUGCGUGGGAUCCUCUGGGACUGGGCAAUCCUUUACUCUCAACCUUGAGCUGCUGCCUCCUGUUUGUCCAAAUGUAUCAUGUCUGCUAAGUCUUCUAGCCGUGAGCAAGACCUUCCUGACCUAGAGCAACACUCAGUAGCUCAGAACUCCUGAGUGUCUUUCAGGUGUGUAACGGCUUGUGCUUACCACCACUUUACCAGUUUUACAGCGAACUUCCAGUGACAUGAGCCACGCUCAGAGAAGCUUCGCCCAAGCCAUGGUUCAGUAACAGAGGCCCAAACAAGGGCAGAGGAAAACUUUCCUUCUUACAUCAUUUCACCCAGUUGGUUCCAGCCCAUCAUUUUUAGAUGUUUGUAGUUCCCUAUGCAGUGAUUGUUUCCUGGUGUAUUAUCUGCACAUAUAGUACUGCCAGGCAAGACCAGGACAAGUACUAAAUCAGCCUCCAAUACUCCUCUGGGGUAUGUGGCCACAGCCUCUCACCAACCUAAUCUAUUGUGUCCACCUAGCUGUAAAUGAGACUUUUGCCAACCAUUUUUAUUGAAAUUCGGAGGAUUAAUGGGUGUAGCAUUUGCUGGAGACACCAGUUCAGCACAGAUUGAAAGGUUCCUAGGAACUCCCUCUUUCCAAGACCACUAUCAUUAUAUCUCCAUGUUCCAAGUCCUCAGAUGGCCUGGGAUGGGACAGCAUCCAUGCCUACCCUCAUCAUCGGGCAGCAGGGAGCCAAGAGACUGUCCUCUUAGGAUUCCUCACCUCCCUUCCUCUCCUCCUGGAUAUAACAACUCUCUUCUUCUCACCACCACUAUCCAUCAUCCCGAGGUCCUCUGUCCUCUCCAAGGCCACCAUCUCCUUCCUCAGAUCUUACCUCUCUGAACAUUUCUCCCUGGCAUUGACUGUCCUCUGAGACCCCAGAGUCCUGGGCCCAUAUCACAGACACAUGUGUCACUAUAUAUCAAAACAUGCAUUUUGAGGGUAGCAGGAGAAAAGGCCCCAGCUGGACUGUGAGCCUCUCUGGGCCAGGCCAUGUCACCUGCACAUGUCUGUGUUCCUGCAGCCUUAGCACAUGUAUGUUCUGGCUGCUCAAUAAGUCUUGACUGCUCUCAUUCCUGCAGCACUGCUGGCUUGGCUCCAAUAAGAGAGAGUUUUAGGAGUCCCAGAUGGGAUAGGGUAAUGAGGUGGCUUAUGGGUGAAGGUGUCUGCCACCAAGCCUGAUCACCCACAUUUAAUCCCCAGAACCUGCAAGGGUGGAAGGAGAUAACCAACUCCUCCAAGCCAUCCUUUGACCUCCACAUACAUCCUAUGGCAAAUGGGUACUCGUACAAGUACACACACACAAAAGUAUAAUUAAAGAUCUUUAAAUAAGUACUGGAUGGUGGCUGCCUUCCAGGAUGCCCAACAGUCCAUGUUCCCAGACCAGGCUCACCUUUCAU